GACUGCUCAGACGGGUGAGGGCAUUCAUAGCCGACUGCUCAGAUGGGGGAGGGCAUUCAUAGCCGACUGCUCAGAUGGGGGAGGGCAUUCAUAGCCGACUGCUCAGAUGGGGGAGUGCAUUCACAGCCGACGCUCCGACGUGCGAGGUCAUUCACAGCCGACCGCUCAGACGGGCGAGGGCAUUCACAGCCGACCACUUUUACAUGGUCCUUCUAGACGGAUUUAGUGACCAACAGUUUUUUACAGUGUUUAUGUUCUAAAAGGAUAUUCUCUGUUGUCUAGGCUGUCCAUCAUGUCAAAGAGCUGCUGUGCACAGGUCUUGAUGAGCUCAUCCAGACUUUCCUCCACCGUCUUCAGGUUCUGCAGCUCCCGCUAAAACCUCUGCUUCGGCCCCACAAAACUGGUGACUGGACACGGACCUCU
ensembl:lncRNA